ACAAUGUGGGAGAGAUGUUUGUGUUUUUCCCUUGCGCUCCAGAAUUUGUUCGACAGUUCUGCUUAAACAUGUCGAAGUUCCUUUUGAGAACUGCCAGAACUCUCAAAAUUUGUCAUCUGAGAGUUGUUUGCAGAUCCUUGUUCGUUGUCUAGAUAUAUUCAUCGACUAGAUUGAAUGACGAUAAAUGUUGUGCAACCGAGAGAAAAUGUAU
rnacentral:lncRNA from 1 species